UUUUUCCAGAUAUAUGCCCAGGAGUGGGAUUGCUGGAUCAUAUGCUAACUCUAUUUUUUUGUUUUUUAAGGAAUCUCCAUACUGUUUUCCACAGUGGCUGCGCCAAAUUAUAUUCCUACUAACAGUGUAAGAAGGUGCCUUCUCUCCACGUCCU